GAUGAACGCGGCGGCGUGCUUAACACAUGCAAGUCGAACGGAGUUUGUAUGGAAUGAGUCUUCGGACAAAUGAAAUAUAAACUUAGUGGCGGACGGGUGAGUAACGUGUGGGUAACCUACCCUAUACAGGAGGAUAACAGUAAGAAAUUAUUGCUAAAACUGCAUAAGAUUACGAGUUCGCAUGAACAAGUGAUAAAAACUUUAGUGGUAUAGGAUGGGCCCGCAUCUGAUUAGGUAGUUGGUGGAGUAAAAGCCUACCAAGCCGACGAUCAGUAGCCGAUCUGAGAGGAUGACCGGCCACAUUGGGACUGAGACACGGCCCAAACUCCUACGGGAGGCAGCAGUGGGGAAUAUUGGACAAUGGGGGAAACCCUGAUCCAGCGACGCCGCGUGAGUGAAGAAGUAUUUCGGUAUGUAAAGCUCUAUCAGC
rnacentral:rRNA from 1 species